rnacentral:sRNA from 1 species
GUGACAGCCUUGGAGUUUGAAAUCCUGUUUAGUCACAGAACAGAUACUGUAGAAGUGUUGGCAGCAUAAGCUUAUCCUACACCACCAUCUGCCCAUUUGCUCUGAGCCUGACGUAGCAGGAAAAUCUUCAGGAGUGAAAAGGAAGUUCAGUCUCCAUGGCCCAUUCAGCCCUUGGCCUCU